UAGUCAUGAGAAUUAUAUCCGGAUAAAAAAACAAACCGAACCGACUCAGAAAUAUAGAUUUAGUUCAGGUUCAGAAAAUAUAACCUAUUGGGUUUUUUUAUUGGACCCGCAUGUCUUUGUUUGAGUCCGGGUCCUACCCUAGACCCGAUCAUAAAUAUGUUGUGUUUAUUAGGUAUACUUGGAUAUUUCGAAUAUGUUUCCAGCAUUAUGGAUAUUUUUUUAGGUUUUUGGUUUACGAUUAUAGUUUUUGAUUUCAGGUAAAUUUUCAAAUUAAAAAAAAGGGUAUUUUCAGUUCAGUGACAAAUUUUGAAUAAGAUUUUGAAUUUUUAGGUAUUUGAAUUUUUUUGAGUAUUUGUUUGGAAUUUCAAGUACUUUUCGUGUUUCAGAUAUUUUUCAGAUUUUUUAGAUAUUUCAAAUUUUCUUAGGAUCCUAAAUAUCCGAACAUGUGUGGACCCAUUACGUCCAUAUCGGGUCCAACAACCUUUUGAUAUAGAUUUUUAAUGUUAUUGUACAAAAACAUGAUUGAUAAAAUAUUUUUAGAAAACUCAUUUUUAAAUAUGAAAAUAUCUAUCAAACUAUAGACGGUUGAAAGUUUAGUAUAUAAUAUGAGAUUUUAGUAGGAAAGUUUAUAUAUGAUAUGAUUACGUUAUUAUAACGGAAAGAGGAAGCUAGAAUAUACACAUAUAUGUGGUGUAAUUUCUCUUGCUUUAAAUCAUAUAUUAUAUGAUAAAAGUGAUAGUAUAAAAUAUUAGUUUCAAUGCUUUUAUGAUUAAAAGUCAAAAUGGUAAAUAUAGUAAUAGUAAAUUAGUAAUGAUUAAGAUUUAGAAGUGAUAUUUGAAUAAAUAAAAGAAUUGAAUAAAUUAUUGUUAGAGAAAUAUAUGGUAACAUAUUGUUAGUCUAAGUUUAAGGUAAGACCAAAAAAAUAAUGAGUUAAAUGAAAGGGUCCAAACAAUUUUCAUAAGUAGAUUUUUUAAGAACCCUUUCUUUUUAAUAGUAUUGAUACAUAAAUAAGAGCAUUUUCAAUGGUCGAAAUCUCGUCACUAAAUAUAUGUAAAUAAAAAAAUCCCACCAAAGCACUAACUCAGGUCUGAAAGCCUUAGGAGCAGAAGUAAUAAAUACUUCGGAAAAAAAUAUAAAACGAAAGAGAGAGGCAAGAUACAUGUUUUAAAUUAGAAUUUUUUGAUUCCAUCCAGAUACUCAUUUGACUAUAUGUCAGUUUUUUUAUUUAAAUAAAAAAAACUGAUAUAUAGUCAAAUAGAAUAAAAAACACUAUUUUUAAAAAAUAAAAUAAAUUAAAAGUUAAUUUUAAUUAUUUUUGUUGUUGAAAACGGAACUGAACGGUGCAAAACAUGGGUCAAGUCAAGUAAUUAAAACCUGGAUUAAAUCUGUUGGUUAAAUUUUAUUAUUUAACCGCACUUUUUUAAUUCAUCAAAACUCUUGAUUUUUUCACUCCUUAACUGAACUAGUCGGAAACAGUAUUGAGGAAGAAGUAUCAGACAUAAACACCACUCGCAAGUAGCAAAAACAACGAUCCAAACCCCUGCGAUUAACAGAGGAACAGUUUUAAACCACAACACUAGGGUUUGCGAUCACUAUUAAAAAGGUUAAAAUGAAGAAAGAAGAGUAAAGGCAUACCAAGAAAACAGAUGCUACUGUUGCAGAUGCGAGCUCCAUCCCGAGGCUACGGUUUUUCCUAGAUGAUGUAGCUUCAUAGCUGCAUCACAAAUGUUAUGUCAGUGUAAGCUACCCAAAAAAAAAACACUUUGAUCACUCCUUGUUUGAUCGAACCAACAGUGGAAAAAAAGUUAAUAUGAAUGUUUCAACUCUCUAUUGGAGACUAACUAACCCACAUGCUAGAAUUUCAUACCCGAAAACCAACUCGUGGAACCGAAUCAACAUAGAUUGUAGCAAGAGACCGAGUCCGAGCACCAUGCGCAAUCUUAUCAGUCACUCUUCUUCAUAUUUUAAUGACUCAAGUAAUCAUGGUUUUGCAUCAUUUGAAAAAAAAAGAUCACUCAUACUUGUCAAGCUAAAACCACUCAAGUUAUUUGGGUAUGGUUAACAGCCUCUAGUAAUAGUUAACUAACUGCGAAGGAAUCACAGUUUGUAACUUUGUACAUGUAAGAAUAUAUUCUGGGCGGCGACUUGAGUUCCGGCGACGGAAGACCGUCCGUCGUUGCUUCUGACCGGAUCUCUCGACGAGACGGUGAAGCUAUGGCGAGCAGACGAGCUGGAUCUUGUGCGGACCAAUACGGGACACUCCUUGGGAGUGGCAGCUGUGGCGGCGCAUCCUUCGGGGAUAAUCGCAGCGUCUUCUUCGCUCGAUAGCUUCGUCCGUGUCUUUGAUGUUGACACUAAUGCUACUAUUGCUGUUCUUGAAGCUCCUCCUUCUGAGGUUUGGGGGAUGCAGUUUGAACCUAUGAUGGAGGGUUUAAGUCCUGACCUGUGUAAUGGGACAGAGAAAAUAUGGGGGAGGCUCGUUGGAAACCGACCGCUGAAACGAGGAUGAUGGUGAAUGUGAUGCUGACUCACUGUUGUCCAGGUUUAGAAGUCUCAAAAGCUCUACAGUUGUUUUCAUAGCUUCAUCUCGCUCUCUCUGGAACAUUUCAAACUGACGGGGGCAAUCAAUAUAAAGCUGUUCUUCGAGUUCCUUUUGGAUCCCCUUCAUGUUUUCGAUUUCUGCUCUCAGGUCCUCCUCCGCUUUUAUCCUGCGUUCCUCAAUUUCUAAUCCUCGUCUCUGCUCUUCAUAGUACAUUGUCUCAAACCCUCUAGCCUGUUAAAGAAUCAUAUGGAUAAAAUUGACAUCAA